rnacentral:rRNA from 1 species
GAUGAACGCUGGCGGCGUGCCUAAUACAUGCAAGUAGAACGCUGAAGGAAGGAGCUUGCUCUUUCCGGAUGAGUUGCGAACGGGUGAGUAACGCGUAGGUAACCUGCCUGGUAGCGGGGGAUAACUAUUGGAAACGAUAGCUAAUACCGCAUAACAGUAGAUGUUGCAUGAUAUCUACUUAAAAGGUGCAAUUGCACCACUACCAGAUGGACCUGCGUUGUAUUAGCUAGUUGGUGAGGUAACGGCUCACCAGGGCGACGAUACAUAGCCGACCUGAGAGGGUGAUCGGCCACACUGGGACUGAGACACGGCCCAGACUCCUACGGGAGGCAGCAGUAGGGAAUCUUCGGCAAUGGACGGAAGUCCGACCGAGCAACGCCGCGUGAGUGAAGAAGGUUUUCGGAUCGUAAAGCUCUGUUGUAAGAGAAGAACGAGUGUGAGAGUGGAAAGUUCACACUGUGACGGUAUCUUACCAGAAAGGGACGGCUAACUACGUG